rnacentral:rRNA from 1 species
AUUGAACGCUGGCGGCAGGCCUAACACAUGCAAGUCGAGCGGAUGACGGGAGCUUGCUCCUUGAUUCAGCGGCGGACGGGUGAGUAAUGCCUAGGAAUCUGCCUGGUAGUGGGGGACAACGUUUCGAAAGGAACGCUAAUACCGCAUACGUCCUACGGGAGAAAGCAGGGGACCUUCGGGCCUGGCGCUAUCAGAUGAGCCUAGGUCGGAUUUGCUAGUUGGUGAGGUAAUGGCUCACCAAGGCGACGAUCCGUAACUGGUCUGAGAGGAUGGUCAGUCACACUGGAACUGAGACACGGUCCAGACUCCUACGGGCGUCAGCAGUGUGGAAGAUUGGACAAUGGGCGAAAGCCUGAUCCAGCCAUGCCGCGUGUGUGAAGAAGGUCUUCGGAUUGUAAAGCACUUUAAGUUGGGAGGAAGGGCAGUAAGUUAAUACCUUGCUGUUUUGACGUUACCGACGGAAUAAGCACCGGCUAACUCUGUGCCAGCAGCCGCAGUAAGAC